rnacentral:piRNA from 1 species
UGCCAAAGACAAGCUCAGCUGCUC